ACCAUACAUGAUAUGAUAAUAGCAGUUACAUUGUGGUAACAACUAGAUGGAGCUUAAUCUUUAGGGAACUGUAUUUUUUUUUUUUAAUCCAGAUUAAUAAUGUAAGUUUCUAAUCUUUAUCCAAAUCAAUUGUGAUGGUGAAAGGCUUCUUUGUCAUUAUUUAUGUUGAAUAUAACUUGAAGAGUACAAAAUCUGGAGUUGAGAAGCCUUGACAUAUAUGCUGGAAUUAUAGUGUGCAAAUAUUUGGUGCUUGAUAUAUACUAUCUAGUAACAUCUGCUAAUAGGAGGAAUUGAUUCACUCUUUAUAAUUUUUUUUCAUCACUUUAAACAAGACAUCUUCUGCUUUCAAGAAAUGUUCAUCAUAAAAUACAUCUGAGAGAAUUUGUCACUGUUGUGCUUCUGCUUACUAUGAACUUAGCAUUGUAGUCUGGAGUAGUUUUGGGUAAUGAAAAUUUACACAAUUCUUAUGCACUGCUUUUUGAUAGCAUUUAGUACCAACUAGUCGGCUACUAUGCUUAUAAUAGUGAUUUCAGGGAGCCUUUUGUUUGUACAUUUAGCUGUGAAUAUGAACUCUCAAAUUCUGUGCAUCUAUGAUAUGAUCAAUGUGGGAC
rnacentral:lncRNA from 1 species